rnacentral:rRNA from 1 species
UGGGGAAUCUUGCGCAAUGGCCGAAAGGCUGACGCAGCGACGCCGCGUGGAGGAUGAAGGCUUUCGGGUCGUAAACUCCUGUUGCCCGGGACGAACCUCCCCUUUCGAGGGGACUGACGGUACCGGGUGAGGAAGCACCGGCUAACUCUGUGCCAGCAGCCGCGGUAAUACAGAGGGUGCGAGCGUUGUCCGGAAUCACUGGGCGUAAAGGGCGCGUAGGUGGCGGGGUAAGCGUGUGGUGAAAGUUCGGGGCUCAACUCCGAAUCGGCCAUGCGAACUGCUUCGCUCGAGCACUGUAGAGGCAGAUGGAAUUCCGGGUGUAGCGGUGGAAUGCGUAGAGAUCCGGAAGAACACCGGUGGCGAAGGCGGUCUGCUGGGCAGUGGCUGACACUGAGGCGCGACAGCGUGGGGAGCAAACAGG